rnacentral:rRNA from 1 species
AGAGUUUGAUCAUGGCUCAGAACGUACGCUGGCGGCACGCCUAACACAUGCAAGUCGAACGAAGUAGCAAUCCUUAGUGGCAGACGGGUGAGUAACAUGUGGGUAUCUACCCUUUGGCCUGGAAUAACACGAGGAAACUUGUGCUAAUACCGGAUAAGUCUUUACGGAGAAAGCUUUAUGCACCAUUGGAUGAGCCUGCACUUGAUUAGUUUGUUGGUAGGGUAAUGGCCUACCAAGACUGUGAUCAAUAGCUGAUUNGAGAGGAUGAUCAGCCACAUUGGNNCUNAGACACGGCCCAAACUCCUACGGGAGGCAGCAGUGGGGAAUCU